AAGAAAUGCAUCAACAUAUUACUAGUUGUUAUAUUUAGGUGGUGGAAUUAUGGGUGACUGUUUUCUUCUGUACACUAAAAGAAGCAUUUUUUUAAUAUUAAGAAAACAAAUAUAAAAAUAAGCUACAAGGAAGAAUGAAUAAUUACUCUUUGUGUUUCUCUGUGGAAUGAAUUAGUUGGACAAAAAAGGUGGGUAAUGGGAGUGAGAGGGGGAUGACUACAAUCUGCCUAACAUGCCCCAGCUGAAUGUUUGUUUUAAUAAAUUUGUUACUUGAAAGCAUGCAGCUUCUUUUUUUAUUGCCCCACUUUAUGAGGGCCGAUUUAUUGUUUAGCUUGUAAUGAGUACCAUAUUUGGUCGUAGUCACUUGAAUGUUUCAAAGUUUACAUUUUGGAACAAUCAGUCUUAUUUUAAAAAGGAUAGAAUAGAAUAAAGAAUGAAUGUAUGCAGCUUUAUGCUUCAAAUAAAUAAAAAUCAGUUCUGACAAUGUAAGAACAUUCUCUGCUCCUC
rnacentral:lncRNA from 1 species